AAAACCUAAAACAAUAUAUACAUUGUAUUUAUGAAAUUAUAAUGUUUUUCAGGUGUAACAAAAUUGUAAAUAAAAUUUAUUAACAACAUAUUUUAUAUGCUAGAACAUUCACAGUAUUCAUAGUAUAGGUGUAUUACCACUUUCAGUGGCUUAUUUUGUGGGAUGCUAGAAAAUAGCCCCAGACUGCAUAUUUUUAGAGGAAAUCAUGUAAAAUACAAAUAUUGAUGAUUAUAAUACUAUUCAGUGAAGUAUGGUUAAAAGAAGAAUCGGUAAAAUAAUGUGAACCCAGGG